rfam:Loxodonta africana unplaced genomic scaffold scaffold_9, whole genome shotgun sequence.
GCCUGGGUGGCACAAAUGAUUAAGCACUUGGCUGCUAACCAAAAGGUUGGUGGUUUGAACCCACCCAGUGGCU